rnacentral:rRNA from 1 species
UACAGAGGUCUCGAGCGUUGUUCGGAUUCAUUGGGCGUAAAGGGUGCGUAGGCGGCGCGGUAAGUCGGAUGUGAAAUCCCGGGGCUCAACCCCGGAACUGCAUUCGAUACUGCCUUGCUUGAGUACUGGAGAGGAGACUGGAAUUUACGGUGUAGCAGUGAAAUGCGUAGAUAUCGUAAGGAAGACCAGUGGCGAAGGCGAGUCUCUGGACAGUUACUGACGCUGAGGCACGAAGGCCAGGGGAGCAAACGGG